rnacentral:lncRNA from 7 species
CGCUUCAAACAAGCAGCAAGUUAAAUUGCAUGUACAUAUGCAGCCCUAAAUUACAAGAUUAUGCAAGUAAAGCGAGUGAAGUUGGAAUCCUGGAAGGCUCCAUUUGCAUAAUCAGUGACGGAGCUGGGGCUGCUGUGCUUCGUUCUGGGACUACAAUACAAGAGUAGGGGUCGAUUCAGGUAGUACUUGUGUAAGGUUUCCAGUAGCAGCAAGGCAUUUCUUCAGCUCUCAACCUUGAGCAUAGAUGAUAUACCUCAGCAAGUCGGCAUGGCUACUACUUUGGUGGGCGACGAUCGUGGUAC